rnacentral:rRNA from 1 species
UACGUAGGGUGCGAGCGUUGUCCGGAAUUAUUGGGCGUAAAGAGCUCGUAGGCGGUUUGUCGCGUCUGCUGUGAAAACUCGGGGCUUAACCCCGGGCCUGCAGUGGGUACGGGCAGACUAGAGUGCGGUAGGGGAGACUGGAAUUCCUGGUGUAGCGGUGAAAUGCGCAGAUAUCAGGAGGAACACCGGUGGCGAAGGCGGGUCUCUGGGCCGUAACUGACGCUGAGGAGCGAAGGCGUGGGGAGCGAACAGG